AUCCAACUGACCAGUCACAAAUAUAACGAAACGCGCGUGCUGAAU
rnacentral:hammerhead_ribozyme from 1 species